UAACAACUCCAAAGACAUGUUGCUUUACCUCUUUUUACUUUGCUCUCACUUCAUAGCCCUGGGUUCCAUGAACAGCAUAACGCCAGAAAGUCCUGAAGAACAUGUUGCAGAGGGAGGAAACAUCAACCUGACCUGUAAAUAUGAGGGUGCUAUCUACAAUAUCCAGUGGUACCGACAAUACCAGAGAUCCAGACCAGAGUUCCUGCUCUCCAUCACAGAGGGAGGAACGAUUCAUCCAACUGAUUCUGUUUUCUCAGCUCACAUUAACAAAACAGACAAGCGUGUGAAUCUGCAGAUCAUCUCAGCUAAAGUGAAAGACUCUGCUGUGUACUACUGUGCUCUGCAGCCCACAGUAACAGGAAACACCAAAACUCUGUACAAAAACCUUUGGAGCAAAGACAACAGAAUACUCCACAACGUCCACUAGAGGGAGUCACACACUGUUAAACUUCAGUGGUUUAUGAUCUGAAUUUGUGGUGCUGGUGAUUAAACAAAACAAAACAAUGCAGCAGCAGCGUGUGGAAGAUACU